GACGAACGCUGGCGGCGUGCUUAACACAUGCAAGUCGAACGAUGACGACCGAGCUUGCUCGGUCUGAUUAGUGGCGAACGGGUUAGUAACACGUGAGCAACCUGCCCUUCACCCUGGGAUAACCUCGGGAAAUCGGGGCUAAUACCGGAUAUGAGCUCCUGUCGCAUGGCGGGUGUUGGAAAGUUUUUCGGUGAAGGAUGGGCUCGCGGCCUAUCAGUUUGUUGGUGAGGUAGUGGCUCACCAAGGCGAUGACGGGUAGCCGGCCUGAGAGGGCGACCGGCCACACUGGGACUGAGACACGGCCCAGACUCCUACGGGAGGGAGCAGGGGGGAAUAUUGCACAAUGGGCGAAAGCCUGAUGCAGCGACGCCGCGUGAGGGAUGACGGACUUCGGGUUGUAAACCUCUUUCAGCAGGGAAGAAGCGAAAGUGACGGUACCUGCAGAAGAAGCGCCGGCUAACUACGUG
rnacentral:rRNA from 1 species